GACGAACCGUGCAAACGUUAUUCGGAUUCACUGGGCUUAAAGGGCGCGUAGGCGGGCGGUCAAGUCAGGGGUGAAAUCCUCCAGCUCAACUGGAGAAGUGCCUUUGAUACUGACUGUCUCGAGGGAGGUAGGGGCAUGUGGAACUCAGGGUGGAGCGGUGAAAUGCGUAGAUAUCCUGAGGAACGCCGGUGGCGAAAGCGACGUGCUGGACCUCUUCUGACGCUGAGGCGCGAAAGCCAGGGGAGCAAACGGG
rnacentral:rRNA from 1 species